rnacentral:tRNA from 1 species
GGGGCUGUGGCUCAGUGGUUGAGCAUCUGCUUGGCACGCAGAAGGUUCCAGGUUCAAUCUCAGUCAUCUCCA